rnacentral:misc_RNA from 1 species
GAUGAAGAACGUAGCGAAAUGCGAUAAGUAGUGUGAAUUGCAGAAUUCAGUGAAUCAUCGAAUCUUUGAACGCACAUUGCGCCCUUUGGUAUUCCUUAGGGCAUGCCUGUUCGAGCGUCAUUUAAACCUUCAAGCUAAACUUGGUGUUGGGUGACUGUCCGCUUCACGGCGGACUCGCCUCAAAAUUAUUGGCGGCCGGUACAUUGGCUUCGAGCGCAGCAGAAACGCGAACUCGGGCCCGUCGUAUUGGCUCCCAGAAGCUAUCUUCACAAUUUUGACCUCGGAUCAGGUAGGGAUACCCGCUGAACUUAAGCAUAUCAAUAAGCGGAGGA